rnacentral:lncRNA from 10 species
UGGAACUCCACUUAGCAGCUAAAGUUCAUCCUCUGAAGUCUGGGAAGUCCAAGCUCAAGGUGAAGCCUCCUCAGGUGGCAAAGAGCAGAAGCACAAAAGAGACCAAACUCCCUCCCUCAAGCUCUUUUACAAGAACACUGAGACAUUCACAAGUGCUGAGUCCUCAAACCUACUAACCUCCUGAAGGCUACACCUCAAAUACGGAUUGAAUUUUCGCAUGAGUUUUGAGGGACACCCAUUCAAAGCAUAGCACCCUUCGGCUUCAGAGAAGCUCCAGCCCUGUUGUCACCAAGCAGGUUCCCCCUAGGCAGAGCGCCAAGAAGCAGCCCAGGCGAUCCCAAGGCGCACAAGUGCUCUCACCAGGCUGCGCGCUGGCGGGUCGGUGCACAGGGACGGGGUCGCCGCCCACGCGCGCUUGGUUCAGGGAGCCCAGGCUGUCCCUACCCGCGGCUACAAAAGCUCGCCGAGUCUUCCUGUCCACCCAAUCGCCCCACAUGUCAGCGGUUGGUCGCCUCGCGGUGCAGUGCUGGGCACGCGAGCCCCUCCCGCAGUCAUUCUCAGCACAAGCACCAGCCUGGAGCCCCGCAGCGACAGAGCUGAGAGCCCCCAAGCCGCAGAGGUCGUGCGGAGCAGAUUUGAUUAAGUGAAACAAAGCCCCAGCUGCUGGAGCAGAGGUUCCACUUGGGUUCCACAGACACCCACAGCCCAAAUCCCUGGAGGCCUAAGGCAAUAGCUAAUUGAGACUAUGCAUCACUAUUAAGGCAUCUUCACUAAAGGGCGCUGUGGAAACGCUGCCUGAGAUGCAGACACCUGUCAGAAGGGGGCUAAAUUUCAAACAAGGAACGUGGUGUUGCAUCACAAUAAAAACAGAAGAAACACACGUGUUCUUGUGUGUAAACCCAGUCCAUGGAAGAGACCGUCUGCUUGUCCCUCCUGAUCUCUGGGCCCAGACAACCAGUAGUCACCAUUCCAAGUGAGGGGUGGCUGCAACUCUACAGCCCCGUUCGUCUCUCCUCACUGUCAAAGCUGCUGAGACCCCAGACUCGACACUUGAAAGAAACCCAUGUCUGUGAAGCACUUGUGGACCAUUCAAGAUUGUGGAAGAAUCACUCAAGAGAAGGAGAUAGCAAUAUUUGCAGAUAUGCAAACUGGCCCCUUGCAUGCACAUCCUGGAGCACGUCCUGGAGCCUUUAGAGGUGAGUGAGAAGGAGACGGCUGCUGCUGUUCCAGUCUCUCCUUAGGCAGACUUGAGUUUCUACCCACUCUUCCCAAGCAGCCGCCCCUCCGCACCCGAGCGAGCCAAAGACCUGGCGGGCUGAGUACUCACUGCGCGCUGGACACAUGCUGAGCCGGCACUGCAGGGACACAGGGCGAGCCGCUGGAUGCAGACCUGUGGCCGCGGCAGUUGGGCUUAUCUUGCCCAUGAAGUUGCCUCUGAAGAACCAAGUCCAACUGUGUAUGCUGAGAGAUGUCUGGCUACUUCCUGAUUGACAGUUCUGGCAAGGUGGCAUUGGGCCCUGGCUUUUCCUCUGGAGGCAUCAUCACUUAUAGGAAAAUGUCCCCUGAAGUCCAAGGAUCAAAGCUGCUGGAACACUGAGAAGCUGAACAAAGGAGAACUGUUUCUCAUCAAACCCAGACUUCCAGACUUCCAAUAGGGUAGAAUGAGCAAGUCAGCAAAUCAUCUUCCUUGGAAACAGUGAUAAAACUAGAUGACAUUGUCAACAACAGCCAUUUCAGAAAUCUAGAAAAUGACCAAAGGCAAACAACAAACUGAGAAGCAUUUUUUUUUCCAUGAAAAAUCGCUCUAUUUCUGCAAAAAUAGUGGGAGUCUAUGGCUUCUCAUCCAGGGCUGUUUCUCUCCCCACCCCAGCUCAGUCAGUACAAAGGUUCUGGCAGCAUGAGGCAGACUGAACAGACCUGAAGUUUGAUUGCUGGAAGAAACUGACUCCAGGUUUGGCAGAGGGUGAGAAACCUACUCCCAGCCAUGUUGUCUGGUGACACAGUGACCUUAGGGACAAGUGAAUAGGGAAGGCCAGUGAUUCAUUAACCUGAGGUUGCAGUCCUGGUUGGGGAAAGCAUCAGAAUGGCAGAUAAGCUAGAAAUUUAGUAGGGAUAUGCUGGAAAUGAGACAACCCCAAAGGGGCUUGACCCCAAAGUUGUCCACACACCCCAGCUGCCUUCUGAGCAGAUGUAGGGAGAGACCAGAGAAGGCCUAGGCUAUCCACACAUCUCUGGCUAACCCAGGCUGUAAACCUGUGGAGGAGACACAAGAGGUGGAUUGAUUGCUAAUGGGCAUAUGGGGGAUCUUACUGGUUGAUAGGAACAUUCUCAAAUUGGAUUGUGGUGAUGCUUGCACAACUCUAAGUUUAUCCCAAAUUGCUAAAUUUUACACUAAAAAGGGGUGAACUUUAGGGUAUAUAAAUUAUACAUCAAUAAAGUUGUCAUAAAGCAUUCACAUUCUAAUAAAUGGCUCUAAGAAAUAUUGUUUUGAAAAUUUUCCUUUGGUAUAUUAUGGCACUCCAAAAUCAACUUCUGUCAGAACAAUAAUUAACUAUUUCUGAUUAUAGAUAUUGGUCAUCUACAAUGAUUUAUUCAGUCUUUUAUGUCCCGCAUAAGGGCUUAGAAUGCUUUAAAUUUCUAAGACCAUCAAUAGCCAGGACUCACCUGAAAACUAUAUAUAUUUUUAAAAAGACGUAUGCUCUGGGACACCAUAUGCUAACAUUUGUUGAGCACACAGUUUGCUACAGAGGUUAAGAGGUGUACUAUUUAAAUCUAACUUCCUCAAGGGGCUCACACUAUUACAAUAGUAAGCUAAAGAGAUAGAAGAAAAGUUUAUAUAUAAAAUCUCAGUACAGGGAUGGGGUUGGUAACAAAUAAGAUGCUGCCACUUACACUUGAUAAAUUAUAAAAUAUCUAUUGCAUUCAUUAUUGGAGGCUGACCCUUAUAAAAACCUUGUGGGUACUGCAAAAGACAGGGAAACCGAGGCUCAGAGUGGUUCAGCAACUUGUGUGAGGUCACAUACCUCAUGUCAAAGCUGAGAUUUAAAUGUGUGUGGCUAGGCUGGACAUGGUGGCUCACACCUGUAAUCCUAGCACCCUGGGAGGCUGAGGUGGAACACACUCCUUGUUUGUGUCCAGGAGUUCAAGACCAGCCUGGACAACAUAAUGAGACCUCAUCUCUACAAAAAAUAAAAAAUUAGCUGGGUGUGGGGCCACGCACCCCAAGGUUCUCAGGAGGCUGAGGCAGGAGGACUGCUUGAAAUCAGGAGGUUGAGCCUGCAGUGAGCUGUGAUCAUGCCACUGCACUCUGCCUGGGUGACAGAGUGAGACCCUGUCUCAAAAAAAUAAAAAUAAAAACAAAUAAAUGUGUGUGGCUGAUUCUCAUGCAAAUAUUGGUGAAGAUCUGGUAGUGAUGUAAAUUGGUAGAACCUCAGUGGGAGAUAACUUUGCAAUAGCUAUCAAAUGAAAACUGUGUAUAUUCUUUGUUUCAGGAAUUUCACUUCUAAGAUGUUUUUAAUAUAGCAGAAAUGGUUAUCCAUAAAGAAUUAGUUCAAUACAUUUUAUCUGUAAAAUGGAAUGCAAUGCGGCCAUUAAAAAGGAGGCAUAUCUGAGUAUACUAAUAUAGAAUGGUCUGCAAGAUAUAUUAACUUUUUUACAAAAGCUGUUCCCCACACUUCUUCGUGUUGUUUGAAAAGACGUGAAGGCUCAGACAGGCCUUCAUUGUGACUUGCCCAGGAUGAGUAGCAGGGCUGGAAUUCCUACUCAGGAGUCCAGAUUUAUAGGCUUCCUCUUUGCUUUAUCCUAUUUCAUAGCUGUCUCUGUUGCCAGAGCCAUGGAAGG